UCAUGUGAGACGCAAUCCUCAUUGCACCUGGUUAGUAGAUCAGCUUUGUACGCAUUUUUCUACACACCACCCAUUAGUAACUCAGUCCUUUCGUGUUUGUCUUUCAGUUCCAGUAUCAGACCCUGCCAUGUUUCAGACAUGUUUGUCACCAGAAAAGAGGACAGUCAACUGCUCAGCAGAGGGAGACGACACAGAGUUCUCUUUUUCUCUAGAUAAUAACCCAUUAAUACAGACUAAAGCUGGCGGUCCAAAGAAUAAAAGUGUCACUAUUAGCUUGAAUGGUCAGCUGACAGGAAACUUGCAUUGUAAGGUUCAGAACAAGGUCAGCAGUAAACAGACUGCCAUCCACCUUACAAGCUGUGAAGGGGCGUCUUUUCCAACUGUGACUGUCAUAGCAAGUUUGACCGUACCACUUCUUCUUUUGACUGUGUUUCUUGGUAUCAAACAGUGGAAAGUUAAAAAUAGCCGCACAAGUAUUAGAGAAGAUAAUGCAGAGGAUGAAAUUGUGUACUCAGAUGUCAGAGUGACUCGGGCUGCCCGAAGGAUGGAUGUUUAGGGUGCUGCUGACCACAGAAGAAUGAGCGGAUAAAUCACCUGAAGCAUGCAACCUUUUAUUUCAAGUGUAAACGUGACAGCUGUAUAUUAACAGAGCUACAAGAAAAUGAAACAAACUACUCACAAAAAUGUGGGAUAUUUUACUUUGGGGUGAAAUUUAUGAAAAACAUACAAAGUUCAAUCUGCAGUGAUACAUAAUGCAAUUGGGACAUUUACGUAGAAGCAUUCAAUGUUAUCUUCCUCACCUCCAACAAUUUAUCGGAACAAAGCCAAAAACAGUGGCGGGUAUACCCAAUGGAACGCCAAAGUGUUCAAAAUUAAAUAAAUGAAACAUCAGUAAAUUAGUAUCUGUAUCAAUAAAUAACAAUGAUUUAAUACGACAAUGAACUUGUGAAAUAUUUGAAUCGUCAGGAGGCAGCAGGACCACGUCACACUAGCUGUCAGGUUUGCAAACCCAGUGACUGAGCAGAAGGCGGUGGUCAGGUGACAGAAACAGGAUCAGAGCCGGAAGGACAGAAUCAGGCGACAGGAUCCAAGGAUAGGCUUGAAUUGUGGGUCGGGGUACAGAGUCGAGGUCAUGAACGGGGAGGCAGAUUCGGGCAUACGGAUCCAAAGGUUAGGCAGAGAGGGUUGGUCAGGAGACAGAAGCAAGGUUGUUUGUCCAGAAAGCAGAAGCCAAAGAAGUAUCCGACGUGGACAAGGGAGAGGAGGGAAAUCCAAGGAAGGAACACUGGAUACUACUCACACAAAGGCUUUUGAAAAUCUGGCACUGGUUAUCUGUCAGACAUCUGUAUAUAAGGAGCACAGGUGGAGCAGAUGGGGUGUAAUUAGGGAUCUGGCAGGGAAAGAGCAGGUGAAAACAAUCCUCCUAAAGCUGCAGCACAGAGGAGGCAGACAGAAAUGAUGCAAAUUUCUCACCAUGGCCUAUUAAUUUCAUAAUGGCACUUUACAACUGAAUAACUGUUGGCCAAUCAGCGUCAACGGGAUGUACUUGCAUCCUCAUUGGCUGAGCCUUACAUAGAGAUUAGUUUCCUGGGUACCUGCUCCCUGAGCAGCUACUGCGCCAGCUCAAGGUUUAGGAAGCUUGGUGGAGUUUCAUAAACUUUGUUCAGCUCUGGUUACCUAAGAAGAUCAAAUUGAGGGGAGUAAUUUAUCAUAUGAUGCUGUUUUGAGUUGUUUGGAUGACAUCUUUCAGAUGAUCGGGAUGAUAAUUGCUCUCCAGAAUGUUAGCAUCAACGACGCCAUUGUGGACACCCUAAGAGCCAUUGAGCACCUUGUCCGCAUGGAAUAUGCAGAGCACAGCACUCAUAUACUCAUAUUAGUGGUGUCUGGAAUAACCAUCAGGGUUAUUGCUGUCAUGUUUUCUGUGUCACCCAGCAGAGUUCACUGCGGUCAAGUGAGCCGACAGUCACGCCAGCCGACGUUAGCUCUCUUUUAAAGAUUAGCUUCGCACAUACAAGGUGCAUUACGGUAAUAGAGCAGACCAGAUGCUUAUCCAGGCAACACUUGAGAAAUUAAGAGGAAAACAGAAGAGUCACCUUAAGAACAUUUAUAUUAAUGACAUAUUUACAACUUUCACAUACAUGUUUGUGUAAAAAAUAAAUAUUUAAUAAUUUUACUGUAGAUUUUUGGAGAAAUAAUGGGUCAAAGUACCUACUAAUGCUAAUCUGUUAUAUACCUUUGUGUCACUUUCAGCAAUUUAUUUCUCCAGAAUGAGAGGUGACAACAUGAUCUCUUCAGAUUAUGUCAGAUGGUCAUCUAUACCAGUGUUUCCCAACCCUGCUCCUCAAGCACCCCUGACCUACAUGUUUUAGAUGUGGCUCUGUUACAGCACACCAUAUUUAAAUGAUUGCAUGACCUCCUCAGCAGCCAUCAGGGCUACAGAAACCUGAAAAUCACUUUCAUUUAAAUCAGGUGUGAGGAGCACCUCACACCUGACACUAAUCAAUACUAUAACCAGUGUACUUUAGAAUGCAUAUACUGAAUAUGUUUCAUUUUUGUAAAGUUAAUAAGUACAUUUGAUGUCCAGGGAUAAAGGCAAGUAACAUUCUUUAUACAACAUGUAUUUUAUUCAACAUAGCUUUUAAUAGUAAACAACUUUGCAAAUGUUUUAUUUAAGAUAAAGGGAAAGUUUUUAAAAAAAGGAACAGUUAUUAAUCCAAAAAAUAAUCUAAAUCUAACUUGGAAAAAAGAAUGCAACAACUUCAAUACCUGAUGUUUGAAGAUUUGUACUUAAAUUAUCAUUGCUUAGUUUAAAAAGGUUCUUUGUCCUUAUGAUUUACCAUUAAAAGACAUUUUCAUUUAUUUAGUUUGGAGAACUUUGGUAGAACUUUGAAUACUGUUCACAUUUAUCUUUCAAGUACUUUUAUGAACUAUUAACAGAAUUGUCAUCUUGUCUUAGAGUUGCAUUUGGGUUGUUGCUUGGGAGACAGAGCAGGAACUUGUGUGCGUAGGAAGAGUACUGUUUGCACCCCAGACAAUCUUCGUGUCCUCGAAUGCCAGAUGUGGAUGUGUGUGCUGUAUCAGUAUCUGGACAGAACCAGUUUUAUUCAGUAGGACUUGUAUUUGUGAAACUGUGUGUAGCCACACCCACGAUGCUGUAACAUGAGUGUUUUUUUUUCCCUUUCUUUAAUAAAAGGCUGUAACACAGGGCAGAUCCUCUGAAAGAAUGGUCUGUCUC